rnacentral:rRNA from 1 species
UUGCUCCUUUGACGUUAGCGGCGGACGGGUGAGUAACACGUGGAUAACCUACCUAUAAGACUGGGAUAACUUCGGGAAACCGGAGCUAAUACCGGAUAACAUAUUGAACCGCAUGGUUCAAUAGUGAAAGGCGGCUUUGCUGUCACUUAUAGAUGGAUCCGCGCCGUAUUAGCUAGUUGGUAAGGUAACGGCUUACCAAGGCAACGAUACGUAGCCGACCUGAGAGGGUGAUCGGCCACACUGGAACUGAGACACGGUCCAGACUCCUACGGGAGGCAGCAGUAGGGAAUCUUCCGCAAUGGGCGAAAGCCUGACGGAGCAACGCCGCGUGAGUGAUGAAGGUCUUCGGAUCGUAAAACUCUGUUAUCAGGGAAGAACAAAUGUGUAAGUAACUGUGCACAUCUUGACGGUACCUGAUCAGAAAGCCACGGCUAACUACGUGCCAGCAGCCGCGGUAAUACGUAGGUGGCAAGCGUUAUCCGGAAUUAUUGGGCGUAAAGCGCGCGUAGGCGGUUUUUUAAGUCUGAUGUGAAAGCCCACGGCUCAACCGUGGAGGGUCAUUGGAAACUGGAAAACUUGAGUGCAGAAGAGGAAAGUGGAAUUCCAUGUGUAGCGGUGAAAUGCGCAGAGAUAUGGAGGA